rnacentral:rRNA from 1 species
GACGAACGCUGGCGGCGUGCUUAACACAUGCAAGUCGAACGAUGAACCCGGAGCUUGCUCCGGUGGAUUAGUGGCGAACGGGUGAGUAACACGUGAGUAACCUGCCCUUGACUCUGGGAUAACUGCGGGAAACUGUAGCUAAUACCGGAUACGACCCUCGGCGGCAUCGCCAGGGGGUGGAAAGAUUUUCGGUCAAGAGAUGGACUCGCGGCCUAUCAGCUAGUGGGUGAGGCAACGGCUCACCAAGGCGACGACGGGUAGCCGGCCUGAGAGGGUGACCGGCCACAGGGGGGCGGAGACACGGCCCAGACUCCUACAGGAGGCAGCAGUGGGGAAUAUUGCACAAUGGGCGCAAGCCUGGUGCAGAAACGCCGCGUGAGGGAUGACGGCCUUCGGGUUGGAAACCUCUUUUAGUAGGGAAGAAGCGAAAGUGACGGUACCUGCAGAAAAAGCACCGGCUAACUACGUGCCAGCAGCCGCCGUAA